rnacentral:rRNA from 1 species
GUUCUCCUACGGGAGGCAGCAGUGAGGAAUAUUGGUCAAUGGGCGGUAGCCUGAACCAGCCAAGUAGCGUGAAGGAUGAAGGUUCUAUGGAUUGUAAACUUCUUUUAUAAAGGAAUAAAGUGAGGCACGUGUGCCUUUUUGUAUGUACUUUAUGAGUAAGGAUCGGCUAACUCCGUGCCAGCAGCCGCGGUAAUACGGAGGAUGCGAGCGUUAUCCGGAUUUAUUGGGUUUAAAGGGUGCGCAGGCGGACCAUCAAGUCAGCGGUAAAAUCGUGGGGCCCAACCCCAUCCCGCCGUUGAAACUGG